rnacentral:rRNA from 1 species
AUGCAGUCCAAACCAAACCAGACACUCAACACUUAUCACACAUGUCGCGUGUUGGAGAAAUCUGCGUCCAGAGGGUGGAGAAGAUCGGAACGGAGAGGCAGAAGAUGGCCACGGCGAGCGUGCACGGGGCCGCCGGCGCCGUGGCGCAGCCGGGCGGCAUCGAUGCGGCCGCGGCAGAGUAUAUCAGGAUGGUGCAUGAGCGGCUGGCGGCGGAGGAAGCUGCGGCGGCAAGGCGCUACUAUAUGCGUGCGUAGAAUGGAAUUACUUUUUUUUAUGUUCUUUUGGUUCUCUGCAAGAUUGGUCAAGUCUGGUCAGUUAACUCACUAG